GCCCGCCUAGCUCAAUCGGAUAGAGCGUCAGACUCUUACCUUUAUAGGCGGUAUUCCCUACGGAAUCUGAAGGCUGCGAGUUCGACCCUCGCGGUGGGCU
rfam:Hebeloma cylindrosporum h7 unplaced genomic scaffold scaffold_7, whole genome shotgun sequence.